rnacentral:ncRNA from 1 species
CCAAGGGGGGUCCCGUCAAGGGGCUGAGAUACCGAUGGUCGCCAGUCCAGCUGGCGUCGGCGCGGUGACCCUUUGAACCUGAUCCGGGUCAUGCCGGCGAAGGGACUGGAUA